rnacentral:rRNA from 1 species
AGAGUUUGAUCAUGGCUCAGGAUGAACGCUGGCGGCGUGCUUAACACAUUCAAGUCGAACGGGGUCUUUUUGGGAGCUUGCUUUUGAGAAGACUUAGUGGCGGACGGGUGAGUAAUGCAUGAGCAACCUGCCUUCAGGAGGGGGAUAACAUCGGGAAACCGGUGCUAAUACCGCAUAGAGCAUUUUGCAGGCAUCUGCGAGAUGGGAAAGGAGCGAUCCGCCUGGAGAUGGGCUCAUGUCUGAUUAGAUAGUUGGUAGGGUAACGGCCUACCAAGUCUGCGAUCAGUAGCCGGACUGAGAGGUCGAACGGCCACAUUGGAACUGAGAUACGGUCCAGACUCCUACGGGAGGCAGCAGUGGGGAAUAUUGGGCAAUGGGCGAAAGCCUGACCCAGCGACGCCGCGUGAGGGAAGAAGGUCUUCGGAUUGUAAACCUUUGUCAACAGGGACGAAGAAGUGACGGUACCUGUGGAGGAAGCCACGGCUAACUACGUGCCAGCAGCCGCGGUAAUACGUAGGUGGCGAGCGUUAUCCGGAUUUACUGGGUGUAAAGGGUGAGUAGGCGGGAAGUCAAGUCAGAUGUGAAAUACCGCGGCUUAACUGCGGGACUGCAUUUGAAACUGAUUUUUCUUGAGAGUCGGAGAGGCAACGGAAUUCCUAGUGUAGCGGGUGAAAUGCGUAGAUAUUAGGAGGGAACACCGGUGGCGAAAGGGGGAUUUGCUGGACGACAACUGACGCUGAGACACGAAGCGUGGGGAGCAAACUGGAUUAGAUACCCUGGUAGU